AUUGAACGCUGGCGGCAGGCCUAACACAUGCAAGUCGAACGCGUGGCGGACGGGUGAGUAAUGUCUGGGAAACUGCCUGAUGGAGGGGGCUAACUACUGGAAACGGUAGCUAAUACCGCAUACCAUCAGAUGUGCCCCGAUGGGAUUAGCUUGUUGGUGGGGUACCGGCUCACCAAGUCGACGAUCCCUAGCUGGUCUGAUAGGAUGACAAGCCACGCUGGAACUGGGAAAAGGGGCAGACGCCGACGGGAGGCAGCAGUGGGGAAUAUGGCACAAUGGGCGCGAGCCUGAUGCAGCCAUGCCGCGUGUAUGAAGAAGGCCGUCGGGUUGUAAAGUACUUUCAGCGGGGAGGCGUUACCCGCAGAAGAAGCACCGGCUAACUCCGUGCCAGCAGCCGCGGUAAUAC
rnacentral:rRNA from 1 species